AGCGAACGCUGGCGGCAGGCCUAACACAUGCAAGUCGAACGGAUCCUUCGGGAUUAGUGGCGGACGGGUGAGUAACACGUGGAACGUGCCUUUUGGUUCGGAACAACUCAGGGAAACUUGAGCUAAUACCGAAUGUGCCCUUCGGGGAAAGAUUAUCGCCAUUAGAGCGGCCCGCGUCUGAUUAGCUAGUUGGUGAGGUAAAGGCUCACCAAGGCUACGAUCAGUAGCUGGUCUGAGAGGAUGAUCAGCCACAUUGGGACUGAGACACGGCCCAAACUCCUACGGGAGGCAGCAGUGGGGAAUCUUGCGCAAUGGGCGAAAGCCUGACGCAGCCAUGCCGCGUGAAUGAUGAAGGUCUUAGGAUUGUAAAAUUCUUUCACCGGGACGAUAAUGACGGUACCCGGAGAAGAAGCCCCGGCUAACUUCGUGCCAGCAGCCGCGGUAAU
rnacentral:rRNA from 1 species